rnacentral:misc_RNA from 1 species
CAAGCAUGACGCACUCCAAAACUUAUCGGAGAAGAUUGCUAUUUUUGGGUCUUCAAUUCAAGUUCCCAGAGAAGAGGAGCACCUUAAUAGGACAUCAUAUAUAGACUCACUUCCUGCUUAAUUGUAGAACAGAGCUGCGACAAGCCAUUGCAUGAAACAGCUUUACUGUUGUAGCAGAGAAUUCAGAGGAGGGCAGAGUGUUGUUUGGUUGUUCUCUUUCUGAUGGUAGAUACUGAAAAUUUCUUGCAUGGAUGAGGAGCAUUCUGAGGUGUGGUAGACAUUCCUCGAGAAGUAUUUUUGUCAUUUUUUAAAUUUGUUCUGUUUCUGCCUGGAAAACAUGCAUGAGAACUCAGAAGAGAACAUUUGGCAUCGAUGAAAAAUAAGUUCUUAUUUGCUUCUUGAUCAAACAAAAGG